GACGAACGCUGGCGGCGUGCUUAACACAUGCAAGUCGAACGGUGAAGCGAGUGCUUGCACUCGUGGAUCAGUGGCGAACGGGUGAGUAACACGUGAGUAACCUGCCCAUCACUCUGGGAUAAGCACUGGAAACGGGGUCUAAUACUGGAUACGACCAACCCUUGCAUGGGGUGUUGGUGGAAAGAUUUGUCGGUGAUGGAUGGACUCGCGGCCUAUCAGCUUGUUGGCGGGGUAAUGGCCCACCAAGGCGACGACGGGUAGCCGGCCUGAGAGGGUGACCGGCCACACUGGGACUGAGACACGGCCCAGACUCCUACGGGAGGCAGCAGUGGGGAAUAUUGCACAAUGGGCGAAAGCCUGAUGCAGCGACGCCGCGUGCGGGAUGACGGCCUUCGGGUUGUAAACCUCUUUCAGCAGGGAAGAAGCGAGAGUGACGGUACCUGCAGAAGAAGCACCGGCUAACUACGUG
rnacentral:rRNA from 1 species